AAUCCCAUGUCAGUCCCGUCCAUUCGCAUUUCAAUGAAUAGACGGCUAUGCUGAUGGGAUAUAAAAACACUGUCACGGUCUGAAGGUGUGGUCAGCUGACUGUGCGCCACACUAAAUAAGAUGACAGAAUAUGUGAAU
ensembl:snoRNA